GACGAACGCUGGCGGCGUGCUUAACACAUGCAAGUCGAACGGUAAGGCCCUUCGGGGUACACGAGUGGCGAACGGGUGAGUAACACGUGGGUGAUCUGCCCUGCACUUCGGGAUAAGCCUGGGAAACUGGGUCUAAUACCGGAUAGGACCACUGCCUGCAUGGGUGGUGGUGGAAAGCUUUUGCGGUGUGGGAUGGGCCCGCGGCCUAUCAGCGUGUUGGUGGGGUGAUGGCCUACCAAGGCGACGAAGGGUAGCCGGCCUGAGAGGGUGACCGGCCACACUGGGACUGAGAUACGGCCCAGACUCCUACGGGAGGCAGCAGUGGGGAAUAUUGCACAAUGGGCGCAAGCCUGAUGCAGCGACGCCGCGUGAGGGAUGACGGCCUUCGGGUUGUAAACCUCUUUCAGCACCGACGAAGCGCAAGUGACGGUAGGUGCAGAAGAAGGACCGGCCAACUACGUGCCAGCAGCCGCGGUAA
rnacentral:rRNA from 1 species